rnacentral:rRNA from 1 species
CCUACGGGUGGCAGCAGUGAGGAAUAUUGGUCAAUGGGCGCGAGCCUGAACCAGCCAAGUCGCGUGAGGGAAGACGGUCCUAUGGAUUGUAAACCACUUUUGUCGGGGAGCAAAAUGCGCCACGCGUGGCGUUCCGAGAGUACUCGAAGAAAAAGCAUCGGCUAACUCCGUGCCAGCAGCCGCGGUAAUACGGAGGAUGCGAGCGUUAUCCGGAUUUAUGGGGUUUAAAGGGUGCGUAGUCGGAAGGUAAAGUCAGCGGUAAAAUUGAGGGGCUCAACCUCAUCGAGCCGUUGAAACUGGUUUUCUUGAGUAAGUGAGAAGUAUGCGGAAUGCGUGGUGUAGCGGUGAAAUGCAUAGAUAUCACGCAGAACUCCGAUUGCGAAGGCAGCAUACCGGCGCUCAACUGACGCUCAUGCACGAAAGUGUGGGUAUCGAACAGGAUUAGAUACCCGAGUAGUC